rnacentral:rRNA from 1 species
AGUGAACGCUGGCGGUAGGCCUAACACAUGCAAGUCGAACGGCCGCACAGUAAGAGCUUGCUCUUACGGGUGGCGAGUGGCGGACGGGUGAGGAAUACAUCGGAAACUACUUUUUCGUGGGGGAUUACGUAGGGAAAUUUACGCUAAUACCGCAUACGACUUACGGGUGAAAGCAGGGGAUCUUCGGACCUUGCCGGUUUGAAUGAGCCGAUGCCGGAUUAGCUAGUUGGCGGGGUAAAGGCCCACCAAGGCAACGAUCCGUAGCUGGUCUGAGAGGAUGAUCAGCCACACUGGAACUGAGACACGGUCCAGACUCCUACGGGAGGCAGCAGUGGGGAAUAUUGGACAAUGGGCGCAAGCCUGAUCCAGCCAUACCGCGUGGGUGAAGAAGGCCUUCGGGUUGUAAAGCCCUUUUGUUGGGAAAGAAAAGCAGCAGGUUAAUACCCCGCUGUUCUGACGGUACCCAAAGAAUAAGCACCGGCUAACUUCGUG